AAGUCGUAACAAGGUUUCCGUAGGUGAACCUGCGGAAGGAUCAUUAUCGAAUUUAUAAAGCUUGCGUCUGAUGCUGUCGUCUCCGGACUUCGUGCUCGACCUCGCCGUCCAUUCAUUCAACACCUGUGCACACUCUGUAGUCUUCGUCGUCAGUAGUCUCUUCGGAGCGAACGCGAAGUCGAUUAUGUAUUUUAUAAACCCUUUGUACAAACAAGUCCAUAGAAAACUCAAUGUAGGCUAGGCGUAAGAACCGAUGCUGAAAUUAAAACUUAUACAACUUUUAACAACGGAUCUCUUGGCUCUC
rnacentral:misc_RNA from 1 species